CUAAAUAUAUUAACCAAACCAGUUUCACCAAAUUAAUAUAUCAACCAACAGUAUAAAACUCUUGUUGGAUUUUUUUUUGUUGUGCUUAGUUCUGUUAGACAAAUAUUCAAUGAACAAUAGGCAGCAAAGAUUCAACAUCUGGCCUUACCACCCCUCCGUCUCUGUGAACAACAAAAAAAUAUACUUCUGACCUUUUUAAUCUUUUCCUCUUUAUGCUCCGCUUCCCCCAGUGUCUUUAUCUUCCGUCUGAACCGGAUUGGUAAAGACGAAAAGGGCGCGCGAGUGAAGUUGAAUCAUCCUGUGGUUCUUUGCAGAGAACUGGAUCUUUCCGGUUUCCUGCCUGCCACACAGUUUCAGGAGACAUUCCGGUACAAGCUGGUGAGUGUCAUCAGCCAUGUCGGGUCAAGAACUGACGAGGGUCAUUUUGUAAGUGAAAGACUUCUGAUGGCGGCAGGCGUCACUCGAGACGGCUGGCUCACCUACAAUGACGAAAUUGUGAAAAUGUCUGACGACUCUGAAGAUCUACAGCGGCCACAGUCUGCAUCCAUCCUCUUCUACGAACGCCAGGUGGAUCCGGCCCUUCCUCACAAGGGAAGCAGCCCAGCUCAUCUCCCGCCUCGACUACGGCAACUCGCCCCAAAGAAUUUAGUGUCAAACACUUAAUUUCCUGCAUUCUGGUGAAUUUGUAUUCCAACCAUUUGUGCCUUUUCGGAAUUAAGUUAUGGCGGAAAUUUCUUAACUACGAAUAGGAAGGCUUUGCCUUCUCUGUGUGUGUCACUAUACAUACUAUGGUUUAUUACAAUGCUUUUGUGUUUCCAGUAUUACAACAGAGGUAAGACGAGACCAUGAAUAUGGCCAUGACAUCCAGUGCAGGACAUGUUAUACAUAAUAAUAUACACAUGAGCGAGUCAGCCUGAUGCACCAGCUGUGCAUCACAUAGCUUUCUAACACAGUGAUAACUGUUAUAGGCUACAUGCCCUAAUAAGUGAUGUGACAUUUUAAUAUCAAUCAAGCCUACUACGAUGUGCUACAAUUUAAAGUUACAACAUUCAACACACAAACGUUGCUGUUAAUGUGAUUGUUUUGACCGCGGAUAACGGCUUAAUUAGCCUACGGUGUAAUUCUCCAUGUCACUCAUCUACAGCUCAUCUCAAGGUAGCGGCAAUAUCAUUACAAUGAAAUGGGAUGUCAAUUACUUUAGUCUAUGCCUUUUCUGAUGACAUGUUUCAAGCUAACAGUUAUGAAUGGUUUCCUCUCCACAUAAUGGACACACCAUAUAAGGUUUAAUGAGUUUGUACUACUUUGUAGAUGGGUUAAGGACUACAAAUAUGGCCACUUUGCCAUUUCCGCUAAAGCAAUGACAGACCAAAGGUUUACCGAACAUAUAGGCGUGGCUUAUUUCAAAGUCUGCCCACUUCCAAUAUA